UACGGAGGGAGCUAGCGUUGUUCGGAAUUACUGGGCGUAAAGCGCACGUAGGCGGCUUUGUAAGUUAGAGGUGAAAGCCUGGAGCUCAACUCCAGAACUGCCUUUAAAACUGCAUCGCUUGAAUCCAGGAGAGGUGAGUGGAAUUCCGAGUGUAGAGGUGAAAAUUCGUAGAUAUUCGGAAGAACACCAGUGGCGAAGGCGGCUCACUGGACUGGUAUUGACGCUGAGGUGGCGAAAGCG
rnacentral:rRNA from 1 species